rfam:Triticum aestivum genome assembly, contig: Triticum_aestivum_CS42_TGACv1_scaffold_515364_6BS
UAAGUAUCCCUCCGUCCCAAAAUUCUUGUCUUACAUUUGUCUUGAUACGGAUGUAUCCAGUACUAAAAAGUGACUUGAUACAUCCGUAUUUACACAAAUCUAAGACAAGAAUUUUAAGACGAAGGGAGUAUAUA